rnacentral:pre_miRNA from 1 species
GUAGUAUUCCCUCCGUCCCAAAAUUCUUGUCUUGCAUUUGUUUAGAUAUGGAUGUAUCUAACACUAAAAUGUAACUAGAUACAUUCGUAUUUAGACAAAUUUAGGACAAGAAUUUUGGGACGGAGGGAGUACAAA